UGUUCUACCGGAUCCACUCCACUUGACUGCUUUCUCACUAAUUUUAAAUUGGCUUUUUCUCGAGAACAAGAAGAUGAAUAUGGGGUAAAAUUGUCUCAUGGAAGACUCUGCUCCCUGUGCCAACUGGAAUGGCCAGCCUUUGGGGUGGGAUGGCCAGCCGAAGGGACUUUUGACCCUAGUAUUUGCUGGAAGGUGUGGGGCAAAGUCACCGGUCACCCUGGCCACCCAGACCAAUUUCCCUACAUAGACAUCUGGGUUCAGGCUUGUGAGAAACCUCCGGCUUGGCUGCAGUGCUGUUCCCUUCUAACAGACACUCGAAUUUUAGUCACUGCCCUGAAAGGACCCCAGGGACUUAAGACCCAAGCUCCCAAGCCAGUACUCUUGCAGGAACCUGACCCCCUAGACCCCUUGGGAGGGCCUCCACCCUAUGUGGAAUCCUCCACCUCCUCAGAUGGAUCCCGCUCUAGACCUUGAAAUCCUUUCCUUUCUCCAUCUGUUCAACCUUCGGCUCCUACUCCUCUCUAUCCUCCUCUCCCUGAGGCGCCCCACUCCCCAGACUCGGUGACUUCUCCCCCACACACAUGAGCUGGGGGUGCAUAUGGACCUUGCCAGGUCCCCACUGGGGAAAUUAGUUUGGCCCCUCUCUUGCCCCUUCGAGAGAAAGAACAAGGUCACUAUGUUUAUAUCCCCUUCAGUACUAGUGACUUAUAUAAUUGGAAACAUCAAAAUCCUCCAUUCUCAGGGAAGCCCCAAGCCCUAAUAUCUCUCCUAGAGUCUAUCUUCCAUACCCAUGAUCCUACUUGGGAUGAUUGCCAACAACUCCUCCAGGCCCUUUUUACCUCAGAGGAAAGGGAAAGGAUCUGGGGACAAGCUAUGAGGUCAGUACUAGGUGGACCAGAAGGCCCCCUAGAUGACCAACAGUGAGCCUGUCUUGAAGCACAACUCCCAUCCACCCAACCCCACUGGAAAACUAACACCUCAGGCAGGAGAGAAGCUCUUCAGAACUAUCAUCAGCAUCUCCUGGCUGGCCUGAGGGAAGCCACUCAGAAGCCUACCAAUUUGAGCAAGGGCCCCAACUUGUCUGCUUCUGUUACGGAUCACCAGGGGAACAUCAAGUUCCAGGAAUGUAUUUGCUGUUGUGCCAGGAAGAUCUGUGGAGUGUGCAGUGUUCCAUCAUGCUUACCCAACUCCAUAACAGAAGAUGUUAUCUUAAGAACAAUCUGUAAAAUCCCUCUCCUUCAGCACUUCACUUUUGUAUUUCUGCUUGCUAACUUCCCCCUAGCAUCUCCUAUAAAAGGACCUCAGGCUCUGAGCCUCUCACCUCUUUAAGCUUGGUGCUUGGGGGUGCCAUCUGGCCAGACUAAUAAAGGUCUGUUUUAAGUUCA